GACAGAGGUCCCGAGCGUUAGGCGGAAUCACUGGGCUUAAAGCGUGUGUAGGCGGAUUUGUAAGUACCUUGUGAAAUCCCACAGCUUAACUGUGGAACUGCUUGGUAUACUGCUUAUCUUGGGCCAGCUAGGGGCUACCGGAACAAGUGGUGGAGCGGUGAAAUGCGUAGAUAUCUGGAGGAACACCGGUGGCGAAGGCGGCGUUCUGGACUGUAACUGACACUGAGGAACGAAAGCCAGGGGAGCAAACGGG
rnacentral:rRNA from 1 species